UCUGUCUCCAGGGUCCAGCUUUGCCAACAGGAAGCUGUUGGAGCAGUUAACAGAAGAAGGACAAGAGAAGGAGAAGAUGCGAGAGAGCUGGACGAGGGCCAAGAAGACAGCAGAGAAGAGGAAGGCAUGCUGGAUGACAUGGCCAUGCCAGCUGAACAGGAGAAGUCGACCACAAGGAGGCGCUGUCGGACCUCAAGCAUGCAGCCCGAAUCGAAGGAGGUCCGUCGGGUGACGAGCUCGUAUGAGAAGAGUCUCCGAGGCCUCCAUGAGACAGAACUCUCGAGGAGGAGAUCCGGCAGCAGCUCGAGCUGAAAAG